GUUUGCAAUAGAUAAGAGAUGUGUUCUCCAGCUAAGUAUGUAAAACGCUCCUACGACCAUGCAACCCAGAGCACCAUUAAAGCCUGAGAGGCCAGAGUACAGAAAGCUGUGCUGCACUGACAUAGACAGACCUGCAGAAGGCAACAGAGAGAACUUGGGUCUAUACAGUUAUUGACCAUGGCUUAGGGCAGGGGUGUCAAACUCAGUUCCUGGAGGGCCGGAGCCCUGCAGAGUUUAGAUGCAACCCUAAUUAAACACACUGAUCCAGCUAAUCAUGUCAUUUAGGCUUAUUUGAAAACUACAUGUUUUGUGUGUUGGAGCAGGGUUGGAACUAAACUCUGCAGGGCUGCGGUCUUCCAGGAACUGAGUUUGACACCCUUGGCUUAGGGGGUCAAAGCUUUGCUACUGUUAGACUAAUGGCUGGUCCACUUUGACAGGUUUGUUUUGUUUUAUGUGCCAUUUUGGGGCUGAAAUAUAGUACUACAAUAAAAGACUGGCAUGUUAAAAAUUACUUAGCCCGAAUUUGCAAUAGGCUGCUGCAGCAGCGAUGACAUAUUUUUGUAGCCCAAAGCCAGAAACAAGUUAACUUCGGUUCCAUUAUCCUGAAGUCAAUUAUGAAUGGAUUUUAGGUCAAAUGCCUGAAAUAAGGUCUGCAGUUUUUUCAUGUGUUAUUUUAUUACAUAAAAUACAUCAGUAACACUCUGUUAUUUAAAAAAAAAAAAAAAAGCUUUUAUUUGUCUUCAAAGACAACUAUUGCUAACAAAUGGCUAAAUGGGACUACAGAGGUUGUCUGGGACAAUAAAUGUAAUCAUGAUCAUACUCAACAGGAAAACUCAUCCAUUCGCUCCUGUUUAUAAUUGCACUUUUGCUAACUAUUCCUACUCAAACUUUAAAAUAAAGAUCAAUAGAGUUAAUGGUGGUGAUGUUGAAAUCAUGUGACCAUGGUGUAGUUCAUUUAUAGCUUAUGUUUAGGUUUUCACUUCUGCUGAAUGUAUUAAAUUCAUAAAAGUUGUUCUCAGUUCAAAAGAUCAUGAUGAACAAAAUGUGUAAGAAUCACAAACUUCACAAAGCUUAUUUUCUGCAAUAGGAAAAAGUCCUUUUGGGUUUCUGCUGAGGGAACGAGGGCGAUGCUAACUUCCAGGUUAGCCUACAGAAAUACUUAGCAGCUGGUGGUAAAGAUGUGGCCGACUACACUAUUAUGCAAGCAAAAUGCCAUCUAUGGCUCUGUUGAUUGGCUAAAACUACUUUGUUUCUGGAACAGAGUGGCCAGGGAGUGAAUAUCACAGCAUCACAUUUUCUGGGACUGCAUAUAAUAUCUGAGCAACUGCCAUUGAGACGAAUAUGAACAGGAUGCUUGGUGCUAAUGCCAGAGCCCAGGAGGGCGUAGACAGCCAGAAUGGGUGAGAAGAUGAAAACAGCACCCAGAAUGAGCAGAGACGGGCCCAGAGUCUCACAUGCAAAGAUCUGCCCUACGCCCAACACCACCCCCUGCAGGAGCUGAUGGGAACAGCAAACACACCUUCAGAUGAGGCCUCUCCACCAAGACAAGCAGGCAGCAGAAGCCACCAGUACCAAUCUCCAGCAGAGCUGAACACUCCCAUCAGCAGAGCCACCAGCAUCCCAUUAAAACCAUGAAGGCCACUGGAAACCUCCUCACUGCAGACAGGUGUGAAGGCAGAUCUGCCUGAUGUGUUGGUGUUUGUGUGGUUUGACCACUGCCCAGUGCUCUUUAUGCUGACUUAUGAUGUACAACUGGAGAGAUGCCAGUUGACGCAUCAUAUUACCUGACGUCAGAACCUUAGUCAUCUUAUACAUUUGCAUGCACAGCACACACACGUACUUUUCACAAUUCCUGUCACUUUAUGAUUUCCCUCUCUCUGCCUGUCCUCUCACUUUUGACGUUUCUCUCCUAGCCUCAGCCUCAGUAUGACAUUUUCUUAAACUGCAUUCACACAAACCUAUGAGUAUGUGUAUAUCUGUACAUUUCUUUUGCU